CUAUUAGCCACACGGUAUCGCUGUUGCUGCAUUAUUGGACAGUCGAGUGAAGGCUUCUUCAUGCUUGGGGAAAGAAGUGUGUCAGUAAGGCAGGAGGCGGGGCAGCAUUCUAAAAGCUGAUUGGUCGCGCCUCCCAGAACUACAGUUAGUCUUGUAAUGUGAUUGGCCAUUGUUUAAACGCAGGAGUGCGCCACUGCAUAUUUUCACAGUUUGACAGUGGUCUGAGCAAUAAUUACACACAUCCGGACUCAGUCUUUUUGGGAACAUUAGCAUUAAUGGAAAGCACACGAUUUAUUCCCCGCCUGAGGCCUCACUGAGCCAUUGGAUUUGAUCAAAAAUAUCUUAAUUUGUGUUCUGAAGAUGAAUGAAGGUCUUACGGGUGUGGAACAACAUGAGGCAUUACGGCGUGAGGUGUGUGGGAAAUGUAGGAGUUAUGAUAGGAGCGGGAGGCAUGCUUGUGAUACAAGUGAACCAGACUGAGAGAGAGAAAGUAAAGAAACUAGAGGAAAGGUUAUGCUAUUCACGUCAACCCAUUCCCACCCGUCCCAGUCCUCCCACCACCCGACACCAGUUCUCACGUAACAGCUUCAGUCCAGAGAAGAGCGUGGAUCUGAAGACUUAAGCUGAGGUUCUUCAUCACCAGCGGUCAUUAAAAGGUCAUCUGGUCAUUGAAGAGUGAAUAUUUUCUCAAAGAAGGAACUUAAAGGAGGUAAACUGAGGUUGAGGGGGUAUUUGAGGCCACUUCUGAUUCAAGACACUCUCUAUUUAGCCGGCCUCUUCCUGUCCACCAGACAGAUGGGAUAUUGGAUCACAGCCUGUUUCCAUGACAACUACUUUGGAUACAGCUAGCUGAAAACCACAGGACACACAGACAGCCAAAUAAAAUACACAGUCCAAAGUGGCUUUUAUUGGAGCUUAAGAUGGGCAUUUGAUACAAAAGGAAACAUGCCUGACUAACAAUUAAGAAGUAAAGGAAAAUAAUAUUUUUGCAUAUAAGAACACUUAAAUAUGCACGUUCAGACAUCAGAUUUUAAUCAAAUCAGACAUUAAUAACAAACUAAAAAUACUCCCAUUUGCAUAAAUAGAUCAUUUAGAAUGAUUUCAUUUAAAAAUUAAAAAAAGAUACUUUAGAAAAACUAGCUUUUUGCUAUAGUUAUAAAAAAAAGUCCCAUCCCAGUAAUAAAUAUAUACACAAUAAAUGAUGCAAAAGAGAUUUUUUGAAAACAUUUAGAAGCAUUUUUAAAAUCAUUUAAAACCUGUACAUUUCAUCAGCGACAACAGAAAGGAUGAAUAUGUGCUCCUCUCAAACAACUAAAGUAACAGCAGUUUAUGGGGCAUCAUAUUAUGGUUACUGGGUUACCAAAUAAGCAAAACGUAACACUACUUAUUUGAUGGUUUUCAAAGAUAUGUGCAUCUAUGUUUUUGGGGGGCAAAACUGAUAUGGUGGGAGCUACAGGAAUUUGGUAAUCAUAAAUUACAUUAGCAUUGAUCGCAAAUUUCUGUUAUAAAUUUGUAGGGUUUCUUGUAGAUCAUUACAAUUCAUUCACCAACAAUACAGAAUAAUGUUUAUAAGUUUGUAUUGUGGUUUUGUUAAAAAAAAAAAAAGUUUAUACUGAUACUCUGUGGAUCACAUUUUGAAAAUACCUCUUGAAGGAUUGAUCAGAGAGCCUGAUGUAUGGACCUUAUUUGUUCUUAUCAGGAAUGCCAGACUUUGGGGAGAGUCUGAGACUGAAAAUGGGUGAAAUGACUAAAAAUAAAGUUGUUGUUCCACUACA